rnacentral:rRNA from 1 species
UACGUAGGUGGCGAACGUUAUCCGGAAUUACUGGGCGUAAAGGGUCCGUAGGCGGUCUGAAAGGUCUGGCGUGACAGUUCUCGGCUUAACUGAGAGAGUGCGUUGGAAACCGGUAGACUAGAAUCACGUCGAGGUCGGUGGAAUUCCCGGUGUAGUGGUGGAAUGCGUAGAGAUCGGGAGGAACCCCUAAAGCGAAGGCAGCCGGCUAGACGAUGAUUGACGCUGAGGGACGAUAGCGUGGGGAGCGAACAGG